UCAGUAGUGCUCCUCGGAGUGGGCUGGGUCACAGAAAAAGCGAGAACUGCGCUUGGCCGAUCGGGCCGUAAAGGGGACGGUCUUCAGAGCUGCAGCUGAACACACACAUUGGUGAAAUUGUGUAAACUGUGGUGUCACUGCGUGAGGCCCAGGAGACAGAGACAGAUGUGUCAUACUCACCCUGUAUGCUUUAAUGAAACGAACAAAGAUUGGGAAGAAGACGGAUGGCGGCAUUGUCUUGGAGCUCUCCCCGAAAAAUUUUACCACAUCUUCAAAUGCAUCCUACUUGCUGAGUCUGGAUUCGUGCCUGCUGAUGAAGUCUUUAAGUGUGGCAUUGUGUUGAACACUGAACUCUCUCCAGGUGAGCUCCAUGCCACGUUGCAGGUCCUUCACAUCAGACAGAACGUUCUCCAGACUCACUGCACACAGCCAGCGUGAGGAGAUCCCUCUCCAGGAUCAACGCUCGAAAGGCUGCAGGACGUUUCAACAUUUCAACACAAAGGACUGUGCAGAGGAGCUCACAGAUGUCCUCACAGACAUCUUCAACACCUCCCAAGCUGUUGUCCCCACCUGCUUCAAGAGUACCACCAUCAUCCCGGUUCCAAAGAAGGCCUCUCCAACUUGCUUCAAUGACUACCACCCUGUGGCACUGACCCCCAUCAUCAUGAAGUGCUUUGAGCAGUUAGUCAUGCAGCACAUCAAAUUCAUCCUCCCUCCUUCCCUCGACCCCUACCAAUUUGCAUCGGGCCAACCGGUCCACUGAUGAUGCAAUCUUCACCGCCAUCCACUCAGCUUUCACUCACCUGGACACUAAGGACUCUUAUGUGAGGAUGCUGUUCUUAGACUUUAGUUCAGCUUUCAACACGAUCAUCCCCCAGCAGUUGAUUAAGAAACUGGACUGUCUAGGACUAUACAUCUCAUUCUGCAACUGGUUGUUGGACUUCCUGACAGGAAGACCACAGGCAUCCGGGUCAGCAGCAAUGCAUCCAGCACCAUCAUGCUGAACACGGGGGCCCCCGAAAGAUGUGUGCUCAGCCCCCUACUCUUCACCCUGCUGACCCACGACUGCUCACCAACACACAACAUCAACCUCUUCGUCAAGUUUGCAGAUGACACAACUGUGGUGGGGCUCAACAACAACAACAAUGAGUCAAACUACAGGGAUGAGGUGAGCCAACUGGCCAUGUGGUACAGAGGCAACAAUCUCUCUCUCAAUGUGGACAAGACGAAGUAGAUUGUUGUCGACUUCCGGAGACCCUCCACCCAGCAGCCUCCACUGACCAUUAAUGGUGCUGCUGUGGAGAGAGUGAGCAGCACCAGGUUCCUGGAUGUGCACCUCACUGAGGAUCUCUCCUGGAGCAGCAACACCGCAUCACUGGCCAGGAAAGCCCAGCAGCGCCUCUACUUCCUCUGCAGAACUAGAGAAGAGCCAGAGCACCAGUCCCCGUCGUGCACAACUUCUACUGUGGAACCACCGAGAGCAUCCUGACCAGCUGCAUCUGUGUGGUACGACGGCUACACCGCAUCCUGCCGGAAGACCCUGCAGUGUAUUAUGAGAGCAGCUGAGGAGAUCAUCGGUGCCCACCUGCCCUCCCUCCAGAGCAUUUACAAGACACGCCUGGCCCACAAAGCAUUCAGCAUUGCGGGUGACUCCACCCAUCCCAUCCACCACCUCUUCAGCCAUCUGCCCUCUGGGAGCAGGAUGGAGGGGCCUACGGGCGAGAACCAGAAGACUGAGAGACAGUUUCAUCCACCGGGCCAUCAAGAUGCUGAAUUCCCUCCCAGCACUGCCCCCACAAACUCUGGAUACUAACAACCCCCACCCACCACAAUACACAACCAAAUGGCACCAGCCAUUUUACAAACUCUAAAAACUCUUCUAUAAACCUAAAUUACGGUACAGUUAACUGCUGUACACUAACUGUUUACAAACUGUUUUCACUGUAUACAUCUAUCUAUAUCUAUCUAUAUUUUUGUAUAUUUUAAUAAUCUAUCUAUAUUUUUGUAAUAUAUAUAUCACUAUUUAUACUGUUCUGUACUGUACUAUGUACACUGCUGAAUCUCCUAUAUUUGCCAUAUUUAUAUUUAUACUGCUCAUUCCCUUUAAUACAGCUGCUAAUUACCAUAUCUAUACUGUCCAUUCUGUUUAUACUGAUAUAUCACCGUAUUAUACUGUUUAUAUCUUAGAUUGCCAUAUUUUUCUUAGAUCUUUUUAACGUGUAUAUAUUUUUUAUAUUUCAUAUUUUAUAAUUCAUGUUUAUUGCUGUUUGCACCUGGGAUUGGGAGAAACACUAUUUCAAUUCUGUGUGUGUCCUGUACAUAUAGCAGCAAUUGACAAUAAAGUUUGACUUGAAUUGACUUGACUUGAUGGUUUUCAGUUAACAGGUGUGCCUCUUCAAAAGUUAAUAAGUGGAUUUUCUUGCCUUUUUAUUGUUUGAGACCAUCAGUUGUGCUUUUCAGAGGUAGUGUUGGCAUACAGUAAACAGCUCUGUUCAACUACUGUAGUAAUCAGCUAAGUAAAGAGAGAUGACAGUCCACCAUUACUUUAAGACAUGAAGGUCAGUCAGUCCAGAACAUUUCAACAACGUUAAAUGUGUCUUCAAGUCAGUCUCAUCAAACACUCAGAUGAAAGUGUCUGUCAUGAAGAAGAACUAGAGUUAGCUCUGCUGCAGAGGAGAAGUUCAUCACAAUUAGCAGCCUCACAAUGAACAGCAGCUCAGAGGUGACAACCUCCUAAGUCUGACUGAGAGAAUGACAGAAGUGUGCUAAGUUGUCAUCAAAAUGUGGCUACUUUAAAGAAUCUAAAAUAUAUAUCUGUGUUGUUUAGCACUUCCAUGUGUCCUUCCAUAGUUUUGAUGUCUUCAGUAUUAUUUUUACAAUGUACAAAAUUAUAAAAACAAAGAAAAUAACUGUUUAUAUGGAUGGUUAUGUCAUGGUCCAGGCUGCCAUGGCUUCAUUCUCCUCUGCCUCCUCCCUCCCUCUGUGUCUUUGUUUUGUUUUUUCCCUGUGUGUCAGGUGGGUGUGGUUCGGAGGUGUGGUCUUCUGCUUCCAGGACUCUGCUCAGCUGCAAACCAUCAUGUCAUCACCAACUACUCAAGAACUCCCAGUUCCUUUGUUCUGUGCCAGAUUAUACCAUUCCUCGCUAGUAUGUGGUAUACUUCAGGCCUGAACUAGUUUAUGGUUGCCUUCAGUGACGUGUUUUUGUCUGCUUU